rnacentral:rRNA from 1 species
GUGGGGAAUAUUGCACAAUGGGCACAAGCCUGAUGCAGCAACGCCGCGUGAGGGACGACGGCCUUCGGGUUGUAAACCUCUUUUAGCAGGGAAGAAGCGAAAGUGACGGUACCUGCAGAAAAAGCACCGGCUAACUACGUGCCAGCAGCCGCGGUAAUACGUAGGGUGCAAGCGUUGUCCGGAAUUAUUGGGCGUAAAGAGCUCGUAGGCGGUUUGUCGCGUCUGCUGUGAAAACCCGAGGCUCAACCUCGGGCCUGCAGUGGGUACGGGCAGACUAGAGUGCGGUAGGGGAGAUUGGAAUUCCUGGUGUAGCGGUGGAAUGCGCAGAUAUCAGGAGGAACACCGAUGGCGAAGGCAGAUCUCUGGGCCGUAACUGACGCUGAGGAGCGAAAGCGUGGGGAGCGAACAGGAUUAGAAACCCCAGUAGUCC